GACUGUUGCAUCACGGGAGUAGGUAUCUAUCAUAAACAAUAUGGCGAUGUAGUCCACGAAAUGAAAAUUCUUUAACCUGACAAAGUUUAUAGAGGAUCAUGAAUUUCACACAUCAGGCAUGGAGAGUGACUGACUAUAUUCCUGGUGAUCAUGGAGCUACAUGUAUCACACACUUCUAAGUAACAGUGAGCCAUGAGAUUGUGAGACAACUAUAAAACUACUCAGUAUGGGGGAGAAGAUGCCCACGUAACAGCCAUUAGACACAGACCGUAAGAUAUACCGGAAUUUAUGCACGCAGUAACAACUAAAAUGUGGAUCUAUAAUCCUAUUUUAUCACCUGGAUAUACAUGAUAUAAAAGAUUGAAGUGUUGGAUUUUGACUGGUUGUGACAGUGUUAAGUUAUACUAUUUAGUAUAUUUUUUAAAGAAAAAAACUUCUCAAGCCAUGCGAGAACCAGCCAGUGAUGGAGCUAGUACAUAUUAACAUCCAAUGAAUGACUAAUUUGAAACAUAAAAAAAUUAAUGUUAACUCUGAAGAAAUCUGAAAUAAACUGAAUUUUGUAAAAAUCCAAACAAAAAUUGAAAUUUUUUUUAUUGUUAAUCUUAUAACCGUUCUUAUCAAAUUAUGCAAUAAAUAUUUUAUUUAA